GGAGACGAUGAUCGUUUGACACCAACAACACUAUCUCCGCCCUCAGCCUGUCAGCAGUCAAAUGGACCCGUCGACUUCUCCACUUUACUCUGCACUUCGACCAAACAAACGGUCGAUCGGAGUUUUCGACAACAGUUUACGGCCAAAGUUCAUGUGUUGAUUCGGUUUUUGCUGAAGCUGCUUCGCUCUGAAGGACAGAUUUAUCGGUUGAAGCCACCGCAGACGCAUGGACAAGAGAAAACGGAGGAGAAAUGUUGGAGAUUAGUGGUGGAGGUGGAGUGACCAGUGUGGAACCAAAUGCAGACAUUUUACACCUCAGUGUGAAUUCUGAUGUUGCCACAGUGAGCACCGUGAACACAGCUGAGCAUGGAGCAUGAGUUAAGGAUGGGUCUGUCCGUGUGGGCCAUCACAGCUAUUGUUUGUAACUCUGUGGUUGGUGUUCUUAUCCUCGUCCUCUUCAUCAUCCUCUGCAAGGCCUGCAAGGUUCCUUCACACACAGACAAAAUGCUCACUUUCACAGUGCAGAAGCAACCAAGCACAACACAGAGAUACCUGCUGACUGUAGCCUGAACACCACACGAUGAGACUCUGUGGACCAGCCAGUGGCCAAAUGUUGAACGGCAGAAUUAAAUUAUUUUGUUAUCUCUGGUUUCUUUUUACAUGUAUCUUUCUGUCACCUACAUCCCCUCCACAGUCGGUGGAGCUCAUGGUGAGCUAACUAAGCAAAGAGUUGUGACAAGGCCAGUGACAACAACAUCAGUUGGGUCCAAUCCUCUUAUCUCUGCUGUGCAACGAUGGGAUUGUCCAUCUGUCAGUCUGUUUGCAUUUUCUCCCACACAGGCCGACCAGGAUCUCCCCCUCUUCAUCUUUUGAUUUCGCCUGUCAGAUCAAAACAAAUGAGGAAUUUGAGAAAAUGUUAUAUGUUCAAGCCUUAAAAUUUGCAAUUAUUACUUAGUAUCAUGUCAGUCUUGAAGAUCACCCUCCUCCCAUUUGGGUUUCAAAGCUGAUGUUUUUUUUCUUGCUGAAGAAAAAUAAAAAUACAUUUACUUUA